rnacentral:tRNA from 5 species
GGGCCUUUAGCUCAGUUGGUUAGAGCAGUGGACUCAUAAUCCAUUGGUCGAAGGUUCAAGUCCUUCAAGGCCCACCA